rnacentral:rRNA from 1 species
AACGAACGCUGGCGGCAUGCCUAACACAUGCAAGUCGAACGAGACCUUCGGGUCUAGUUGCGCACGGGUGCGUAGCGCGUGGGAACCUGCCCUUAGGUUCGGAAUAACUCCCCGAAGGGGGUGCUAAUACCGGAUAAUGUCUUCGGACCAAAGAUUUAUCGCCUUUGGAUGGGCCCGCGUUGGAUUAGCUAGUUGGUAGGGUAAAAGCCUACCAAGGCGACGAUCCGUAGCUGGUCUGAGAGGAUGGUCAGCCACACUGGGACUGAGACACGGCCCAGAAUCCUACGGGAGGCAGCAGUGGGGAAUAGUGGACAAUGGGCGAAAGCCUGAUCCAGCAAUGCCGCGUGAGUGAUGAAGGCCUUAGGGAUGUAAAGCUCUUUUACCCGGGAUGAUAAUGACAGUACCGGGAGAAUAAGCUCCGGCUAACUCCGUG